ACGAACGUUGGCGGCGUGCUUAACACAUGCAAGUCGAACGAGAACGUCCCGGCUUGCCGGGAUUAGUAAAGUGGCGCACGGGGGAGUAACACGUGAGUAAUUUCCCUUCAAGCUUGGGAUAACAUUGCGAAAGCGGUGCUAAUACCGAAUAAGACCACGGUAUCACAUGAUACAGUGGAAAAAGGUGGCCUCUGUAUAUGCUAUCACUUGGAGAUAAGCUCGCGGACCAUUAGCUUGUUGGUAGGGUAACGGCCUACCAAGGCUGAGAUGGUUAGCUGGUCUGAGAGGAUGAUCAGUCACACUGGAACUGAGACACGGUCCAGACUCCUACGGGAGGCAGCAGUGGGGAAUAUUGCGCAAUGGGGGAAACCCUGACGCAGCAAUGCCGCGUGAGUGAGGAAGGCCCUCGGGUCGUAAAAUCCUGUCAGAUGGGAAGAAUAAGGGCAGUAAAAAUAUUAUUGGGACUGGACGGGACCAUCAAAGGAAGCACCGGCUAACUUCGUGCCAGCAGCCGCGGUAAUACGAAGGGUGCGAGCGUUGUUCGGAAUUACUGGGCGUAAAGCGUACGUAGGCGGAUGUGGAAGUCAGAUGUGAAAGCCCUUGGCUCAACCAAGGAAGUGCAUCUGAAACCACAUAUCUUGAGUAUGACAGAGGGAAGUGGAAUUUCCAGUGUAGAGGUGAAAUUCAUAGAUAUUGGAAAGAACACCGGUGGCGAAGGCGGCUUUCUGGGUCAUUACUGACGCUGAGAUGCGAAAGCGUGGGGAGCAAACAGGAUUAGAUACCCUGGUAGUCCACGCCGUAAACGAUGUGCACUAGGUGUUGGGAGUAAUUAAACUCACAGUGCCGAAGCUAACGCAUUAAGUGCACCGCCUGGGGAUUACGGUCGCAAGACUAAAACUCAAAGGAAUUGACGGGGGCCUGCACAAGCGGUGGAGUAUGUGGUUUAAUUCGACUCAACGCGCAGAACCUUACCUGGGUUUGACAUCCCGUGCCUACCUUUUGGAAACAUUUGGAUCAGUUCGGCUGGACCGGUGACAGGUGCUGCAUGGCUGUCGUCAGCUCGUGUCGUGAGAUGUUGGGUUAAGUCCCACAACGAGCGCAACCCCUACUGUUAGUUGCCAUCAUUUAGUUGGGCACUCUAACGGAACUGUCGGUGUCAAACCGGAGGAAGGUGGGGAUGACGUCAAGUCCUCAUGGCCCUUAUUCCCAGGGCUACACACGUACUACAAUGGCCAGUACAAAGGGCAGCGAACUCGCAAGGGUAAGCGAAUCCCAAAAAGCUGGUCCCAGUUCGGAUUGGAGUCUGCAACUCGACUCCAUGAAGUUGGAAUCGCUAGUAAUCGCGAAUCAGCAUGUCGCGGUGAUACGUUCUCGGGCCUUGUACACACCGCCCGUCACACCACGAAAGUCAGCUAUACUAGAUGUCGUUGAGCUAAUUCAUUUCGAUGAAGGCAGACGCCGACGGUAUAACUGGUAAUUGGGGUGAAG
rnacentral:rRNA from 1 species